rnacentral:rRNA from 1 species
UACAGAGGUCCCGAGCGUUGUUCGGAUUCACUGGGCGUAAAGGGUGCGUAGGUGGCGAUGAAAGUUCGAUGUGAAAUCUCCGGGCUUAACCCGGAAAAGGCAUUGAAAACUAUGUUGCUUGAGGUUUGGAGGGGGGACUGGAAUUCUUGGUGUAGCAGUGAAAUGCGUAGAUAUGGGGAGGAACACCGGUGGCGAAGGCGGCCACCUGGACGGAUACUGACGCUGAGACGCGAAAGCGUGGGGAGCAAACAGG